UGCAACCUCAUGGUUACUAGUCAGGUUUGUUUCCACUGCACCACAACAGGAACUCCUGGAGAUCUGACUCGUAUAGAGUCUGAAGAGGGGCUGAAGCCACCAUACAUCUCAGAGGCUGAGAUGGAGCACACCAGCUGCCGCCCCUUGACACAAGCAAGAAGGGAAAUUUACCAGUGAAUAAGAUCUAAUAGGAUUGGAUUGUGAGAAGUGAAGAAUCGAAAUGCCACUGGCUUCAACAAGCAUGCUUUGCAUCUCCUGCUCAUGUGGAAGAAAUUGGGAAGCAGUCAGCGCAAAGUGAAUGUAGGUCUCCAGGGCAUCAGGAACUCCGGCUGGUUCUCUGCUGUUGCUCUACCACGCUCAGCAGGUCAUACCUGCCUCAUGGCCUAAGAUGGCUGUUGAACUUCAGCUGCCAUGACGACACCGCAACUAACAGGAAGGAGGAAAGGGAGAAACGUGGCAUAUCUCCUCCCUUUAAGGAUUCUUCCUGAAAGAGGCACACAACCCUUCUGCUUACAUCCAGAAUGUGGUCUCAUGGCCAUAUAUAGCUGGAAGGGAGACUAAGACAUGUUUAUCCCAGGUGGCCAGAUGCCCACUAAAGACAGAGAGGGAAGAUGCUGUCACAUGGAGACAGAGAAAUGGACAAAGGAGCCUCUGUCAUAGAGAGCCAAGGAUUAGGAGUCUAGAGCCCAGCUGAAAGGACUCAGGAAGCUGCCGUGAAGGCUUCCUCAGGUGAUUUCUGGGGAAGCUCACAGGCUAGAUUCUCGCUUUUCAAGGUGUAGUCCUUGGGCCAGAGCAGCAUCAGCAUCACCUGGCAGCGUGUUCCAAAUGUAAAUUCAGGCCCAACGGAAUCAGAAUCUGCAUUUUAACAAGCUGGGGAGCUAGAAGAUCUCAGAGAAAGGCCAGAAAUUGGGGAGAUGUGUAGCACAAGACAGGAAUUAGAGGCGAGAGUAUUCUAGGUAGAGUGGUGGCGGGGCUCCUGUGAGUCUGCGACCCCCUUAUGCAAGUGAACUCAGAGGCAGGUCAGAGAACUGAGGGUCCAGACUUGACUUAGGGACGUGAGUGGAAGAGACUGCCAGCACAGGAUAAUGAGGAAGGAGAAGAGAAGAGAUGCGUGAGAAACUUGGAAAGAACGUGACCUUGAAAACAUGCUCUAAGAGAAUUAACGGUGAAAUACAGAUUUAAUUUCUGCGUAUUGUGGGCCAGGCACCUCCUAAUCCUCACAACACCACUGAGUGGUGCGGCUUAGGUCACAACUGAAGCUCGGAUCUGAUCCCUGGCCAGGGACAUCUGGUUAUGAACAGAAGAUUUGUGAUCCCGGCAUCUCCCCUGCCAGGUCAAUUCCAUGGCCCUCAACAAUCCUCAAAGUCCUUAAAAGCCCACUUGAGGUGGCCUGGAAUGAAGAAGGGCGCUAGGAGUGGAACAGAGCAGUGCAGUCCUACCAGCAGCUCAGCGACAACUUUCUUGGGCUUCGGAGGACCUUGUGUCCUUCGUGCCUCACUGUCCCUCUGCAGCUCACACCUCCUGUAGCACCCUCUCACAUGCCCCCCAGAGUCCCUGGGCUGCCUUCCAGCAAUCCUUAGCCUCCCAUCCCUCCUUACUUCUACCUCCUUUGGACAUUUUAGCCAGUGUUUGAACCACACUCACUUAUUGCAAAUUACCAUUUCCUUGAGAGAAUUUCCUACAUGAAGAACAAAACUCUGGCUAAACCAUUAAAGUCCUUAACCAUACCAAUACAUGCUCCAUCACCUGUGGGCAGAAAGCCUCCAGACUUGAAGCUACUUCUCCACUUCUUCCUCCUCUGAUCAUUUCCUGAUCUGAGGGAACCUAUUCUAUAACCAGUGGUCAGUGGGCUCAGAACUGUGCCUAUACACAGAGAAGCAGCAGCAGCCGGGCCUCAGCUUGGCAGUGUAAAGUAAAGCCAAUUUCAGCUGGAUAGACUUUGAUAGUUCUUUGGAUUCUCAAAGAUACCUUAUAUUUCUUGAUUCUCUCAGGCUCUAAAUACCAGCUUCUUCAGAAUUAUUCUGCUUGAGGACUAUUUUUUCUGUGCACUGUGUCCCCCAAACAUUUAACUCAAAUUUACAUCCAUAUAAAAUUCAUCAAGGUGUUCCCAUAUGCAGCACACUUUACUGAACCUUUGGGGGGAAAAGAGGUUUAUAUUACAACAUCCAAUCCAUCUUAAAUUCAGUAUCAGUCAUUCUUUAUAAGGCUUUUGACCACAUCCACAUUUCAGGACCCAGCCUUCUGCCAGGAUCCUUAUUUGUCCUCUCUUCCUUUUCCCUGCUAUCUCUCCUCCUCAAUCCCUCCCUCUAGCUUGCCUGACA